GACGAACGCUGGCGGCAUGCUUUACACAUGCAAGUCGAACGGUAACAGGGGCUUCGGCCCGCUGACGAGUGGCGGACGGGUGAGUAAUACAUAGGAACGUAUCCAGUAAUGGGGGAUAACUCCGAGAAAUCGGAGCUAAUACCGCAUACGCUCUACGGAGGAAAGCGGGGGACUUUCGGGCCUCGCGUUAUUGGAGCGGCCUAUGUCUGAUUAGCUAGUUGGUGGGGUAAAGGCCUACCAAGGCGAUGAUCGGUAGCUGGUCUGAGAGGAUGAUCAG
rnacentral:rRNA from 1 species